rnacentral:rRNA from 1 species
CCGCCGGCGACCGGCGCACGGGUGAGUAACACGUAUGCAACCUGGCCGUGACAGAUGGAUAACCGGGAGAAAUCCCGCCUAAUACAACAUAAUGCCGGGAGGGGACAUCCCCUGCCGGUCAAAGGGGGCGACCCCGGUCACGGAUGGGCAUGCGGCGCAUUAGGUAGUUGGUGGGGCAACGGCCCACCAAGCCGACGAUGCGUAGGGGUUCUGAGAGGAAGGUCCCCCACAUUGGAACUGAGACACGGUCCGAACUCCUACGGGAGGCAGCAG